GAUGAACGCUGGCGGCGUGCCUAAUACAUGCAAGUCGAGCGAACGGACGAGAAGCUUGCUUCUCUGAUGUUAGCGGCGGACGGGUGAGUAACACGCGGAUAACCUACCUAUAAGACUGGGAUAACUUCGGGAAACGGGAGCUAAUACCGGAUAAUAUUUUGAACCGCAUGGUUCAAAAGUGAAAGACGGUCUUGCGGUCACUUAUAGAUGGAUCCGCGCUGCAUGAGCUAGUUGGUAAGGUAACGGCUUACCAAGGCAACGAUGCAUAGCCGAACUGAGAGGGUGAUCGGCGACACUGGAACUGAGCCACGGUCCAGGCUCCUACGGGAGGCAGCAGUAGGGAAUCUUCCGCAGUAGGCGAAAGCCUGACGGAGCAACGCCACGUGAGUGAUGAAGGUCUUCGGAGCGUAAAACUCUGUUAUUAGGGAAGAACAUAUGUGUAAGUAACUGCGCACAUCUUGACGGUACCUAAUCAGAAAGCCACGGCUAACUACGUG
rnacentral:rRNA from 1 species